rnacentral:lncRNA from 1 species
UCCUACAUACAGUAGCACACACAGCCAGGUAUUCAAAACAUUUAACAAUGACAUGUGGGCCCCCGAAUGACUAAAAGUAAUGAAGGCUGUGAACCUACACUUUUUGAGGAUGCAAGUCCAAUUGUAACCCUUAACGAAAUGAGCUAUCUACCGACUAUCCUGAGCCUGAAAUGGGUGGAAAGGAGGGUGGUGAGAUUAUAUAAUCCCAGUGAGUAAACAAAUAUCAUCUAAAAUAUCUAAAGCUGAGUAAAUAGAGACAGAUAAAAUAAAUUAGCAUAAAAAUGAUUCACAGCAUUUCUAACUCAUUUUAAUAAGAUAAAAUAGAUUCAUUUCACCCAAAUAAACAAUGAGACUUAUGAUUUCUUGAAAAGCUUGGCUUGUCCCAAAAUCAUUCUCAUACUCAGUUGUCAGGGAUACCUUGGCCUGGGGCUAUCCCAACCGAAUCCGCCAAGGCUGUUAAAAAGUCAUGUAUGCAUAAAUCAUGUUUUUUUUUUGAAAAGAUAGUCGUUCCUUGGUGUUGGCUUAGUUCACCCUCACGUGGUGGUUCAGCGUGAAGUGAACUCUAAAGUUUUACCUCAGGAGUUACCCUACACGCCUCUCCAAUCGAGGUAAGAAUAUACCUGGAUUCCGUGCCCCUCUAAUAGGCUGGUCCACAGAACCCGCCACUGCAGUGAGCAAUCUAUAACCCACCAAUUCAAUAAAAAUUCAACAGCAUGACAUGGCAAUUUUAUCAUUAUCCAGCCUAUCAAGGCAAACAACAGUUUAUACAUUUUCAACACAAAUACCCAUCCAGCCAUUCAUGCCCACAUUAUCAUAAGCCAUUCAAUUCAAAACAUAAUUUACAAUACAGCAAGUAGUCUUCAAUUACUCCAUUUUCAAGUCAUCAUUAAAUUUCAAAACAAUUUAUAAAAUCAUUUCAUUUAAACACAUUUUCCAUAAAAUUACAAAAUCAGAUAAAAACAUACUUUAGAUAAUUAAGACGAUAAUAAGGUUACUCACUGUAAUGGAAAUUAAGUUUCGAGUACUCCGAUUCUUGAUCCUCGGGUACUAUCUCUUUACUUUUGCCAGAAAGCUCACCACCUAGACAUAAUGCACAAUAAGCCAUUUACUACAUUUGUGCUAAACUGUUAUAAAACUAAUUCAGGCUCUACACUAAUGCAUAAAAUGGGAUGUGAAAUGCUCAGGUAACCAUCUAAAUACGACGUUCAAUAUAAGUUCAAUUGUGUACCUAAAUAAAAUGAUAUUGGCCUAAUUCAAUCUAUCACCCGAUUAAUUGGCCAAUACGUCCAAUUCAACUCCAAAUAAUUCCAUUUCUCUGCCAAUACUCCAAAUCAUCAAACACAAAUUAAAUAACUUGAAAUAUGGUAAAAUCAUCCUCACAUUUUCUCUUGGAAAAAUUCAGCCAUGGAGGUUCUUGAGGGGUAUACGGUUUUUCAUGCUAAACAUUACCAUUUUCGGUUUCCACCACCACAAUUCAUUAAAUUCUAACUAAAUAACAUAAGACAUCACAAGAUUCAUCUUUCAAUAUUUUCUUUAUGAAAUUCGGCCAAUGAAGAAUCCAUGAAGAAUAUGUGAUUUUUCUUACUUAUUUUCCUUCCAAACAUGAUAAAUAAACUAAAAACACUAAAAUAUCUCAAAAUCUAACCAAAUGAAUCAUCAAAUCUUCUCUCUCUAAAUUUGGUCAGCCAUGAAUCCUUCAUGAUAUCUUGUGAUUCAACCAUGGAAAUGUAUAGGAAAGAUAGAUCACAAGCUAGAGUUAAGAAAUUUCACCUUGGAUGUCUUGAUUCCUUGAAAUCUAGUGAUUUUCCCUUGAAUUUCUUAGCUAAGGUUUUGUUCUUCUUCUUCUCUUCCUUUUUCUUCCUUUGGCCGACCAAGAGAAAUGAGUUGGGAGGGUUAUGCACUGAUUUUUAAAGCCAAAUAAUAAAAUAAUCAAGCUUGACACUUGUCACCAUGUUAUUGGUCCAUGAUUAAAAACUUAAUAAUUAAGCUUUCUUCCACCACCACAUAAAACCCUUCAAUUAUCCAUGAUAUAAAAUGCUAAUGGAUGAAAUCCAUGGGCAUGACAAGUGUUGAGCAGUGUAAAAUUACAAUUUUGCCCCUAGGGUGGCAAAAUAACUAUUUUGCCUUUAUCCUUGAAAAAACAUCGAAAUUAAAAUUCUUCACUUCUCAAACUCAAAUUAUACUCCAAAUGAUCAAUCUUAGUCAAAAAUUUCAUCCAACACUCACAUCUUAUCCUCGGGUGGCAAAAUGACCAUUUUACCCCUACAUCAUAAAAAUUCUAAUUUGACUCCAAAUUGGUCCUCAAACUCUGAAUCACCAUUUUAAGUCAUGCUAGGGUCUUAAAAUUCUCAAUUUCAUCUUAAAAUCUCUAUAUGGACUAGUUCGAGGCUUAAUUCUACUGAAUUGUACCAUUUGGUACAUUGUCGUCCUUUAACGAUUUUCGAGGUACCUAAGUAAGCAAACAUGCAUUCUUAUGUAGGAAUGGCAUAAUAAACAUAUUGUAGAGCCGGGCUUGACAUGCACAAACUCUUAAUUUUUUUUAGUAAGCUUACUCUUGAAAUUUUGGAAAUUUGGAAAUUUUGAACAUGUAUUGCUUUGUCUUGGAACAAGAUGCCGUCUAAAACGAGAAUUGCCUUAAGGGUAUUGAGAGAGUAAAAUGCUUGGGAUGAGCCUAUGGAACCACCAUCAAUGUCCACGUCAAAAUGUGUGGUUGAAAUAUAGUAGUGAAACAUGCUCAAAAUGUAAAACCCAAUUAGAUGUACAUUGGUGAUGAGAAUGUGGUAGUUGGGAAUUACUACCUUAUAGGAUGAGGUGUCACCCUAAAAGAUUUGGCAGCAAGGUUGUAAAUUUUGGCUCUUGAGUUUGUUGAGUUCUGUAAUAGAAGUGAGGCACAAUCAGAGGAAUGAGUUGAUUCUAGUUCACUAGAUGCAGACUACGAGCCUUAAUACAAAUAUCAAUGAGGGGUUAUUAAGGUUAUUUUGGUAGAUUUUAUGAAGUUAAAGCCUUCGUCUUUUACUGAUACAAAUGUAGAGGAAGAUCCAUAAAGAUUUUAGGAAGAUAUGGGAUGUAUUUGUUCAGCUUUAUGAUUUUCCACACCUAGCUUAGUGGAAUUUGUUGGAUUUAGACGAAAGGACAUUGCCAGGAUAUGGUUUAUUUCACUCAAGAGGGGUAGAUCAUCUAAUUCAGCCCAUAUGACAUGGAAAGAGUUUGUCCAAGCUUUUCUAGAUCACUUCUUGCCUAGGAGCAUGUGAGACACUAAGGCACAAGAGUUUGAGACAUUGAUACAAACCCCAAACAUGACAGUGACAAAGUAUGAUGUUUGUUUCACCCAAUCAUCGAGAUACGCUCCUUACUUGGUCCUAACUAAGCAAAAGAGGAUGAAAAGAUUUAUUCAAGGAUUAAUUGUGUCGUUAUUUAGAGUCCUUGCCUCUUAGAGAUUUGCCUUCUAUGCGGCAGUGGUGGAUGUAGCUAGAACGUUUGAAACUAAGAGAAUGAAAUCCAAAUUGGAAAGAGGUAGUGGUUGAAAGGCUUUAGACAUAGAGCCAAUAGAGCCGUAGAGAUUCUAGAGUGACUAAGAGUCCCACAUUCAUACACCUUUAGAGUCAUGAGGGAACCACUAUUACAUAUAGGCCACCAAGGAACAGUGAUUUGUUUAUACCACUUCUAAAUGAGAGCAAUCUAGUGGAGCAUCUAAUUUAGGCCUUAGGUAGAAGGUGUUUUGUGUAGUUAUUGUGGAAAGAGGCAUGGUGGACUGUGCUGAAAAGUAGUUUGGUUAUGUUUUAGACAUGGCCAAUCUAGGCAUUUGAUGAGAGAUUGCCCAAUGCAGAGGCAAUCAAUAAAGGUUGAUCAUGGAUAUGGGAAACAAAUGUCAAAUACUCUGCCUAGAACGACAUCGAUUGGCAAGAAUGUUAGAGGUGAUAAAGGCAAGGGUGUAGCCUCAUCAUCACGAGGUAGAUCGACACAAUUGGAUAAUGAUGGAAGAGGUCAAGCAUGGGUGUUCACUUUAACACUGCAAAAUGCUCAAACUUCUAAUGUAGUGGUCACAAGUACACUUUUUAUUUGUGGUACCAAAGCUUUGGUUUUAUUUGAUCUCGGAUCCACACAUUCCUUUGUGUCCCACACUUUGUGCAAAAGUUGGAUAAGUUUUGUAACAGUAUGGAUAAACCCCUGAUUGUGACUACUCCCUUAGAGGAGAUAUUUGUGGUAGAAUAUGAGCAUAAGUCUUGUGUCGUCCGUACUAAGGACAAGGACAUGUUAGAGGACUUAGUGUUUCUACUAACUAUGGACUUUGAUGCGCUAUUGGGAAUGGACUAGAAUCCUACUUUGCUAAGGUAGAUUGCUACCAUAAACUUUUGAAGUUUAAGUUUCAAGAGGAAUCCUCAUUUGUGGUUUAUGGGCAUGAUAGCCCAAUAUGAAUAGAGGUUAUGUCGAGUAUGGCAACUAGACAAAUGCUAAGGCAAAAAGGCCUAGGUAAGAGAUCCGUCAAUAGAUGGUGAGAUUAUGGAUUAUGUACCGUACUAGGUGAGUAUUCGGAUAUGUUUCCAGAUGAACUACUUGGAUUGCCUCUCGAGAGAGAGACUAAAUUUUGUAUCAAUUUGAUUCUUGAUACAAAGGCAAUUUCUAUACCUCUUUAUCAAAAGGCACCAGUAGAAUUAAAAGAGCUUAAGGAGCAAUUGGAGGAUUUGUUGAACAAAGACUUCAUACGCCCAAGCAUUAAGCCUAAGGGAGCUUUGGUGCUAUUUGUCAAGAAGAAGGAUGGAAGCCUUCAAGUUAUGCAUAGACUACUGACAACUAAAUAAAGUGACAAUAAAGAAUAAAUAUCCACUUUGAGGAUUGAUGAUUUGUUUGACCAGUUGCACGUUGUUUUGUGCUUUUCUAAGAUUGAUCUACACUCUGGGUAUCACCAGUUAAGAAUACAAGAAAAUGAUAUACCUAAGCCAGUUUUUGCACAUGUAUGAGCAUUAUGAAUUUUUAGUUAUGUCAUUUGGACUCACUAAUGCCCCUGUAGUAUUUAUAGAUUUAAUGAAUAGAUUGUUCUAGGCAUUUUUAGAUAAAUUUGUGGUUAUGUUCAUAGACAACAUAUUGGUGUAUUCUAAGAGCCUAGAGGAACAUGCACAACAUUUGAGAAUCAUGUUCCAUACGCUAAAGAGCAUAAAUUAUAUGCUAAAUUUUUGAAAUGUGAGUUUUGGCUAAAUAAAGUCAGUUUCUUGGGACAUACUGUGUCUGAACAAAGGGUGCAAGUGGAUCCCAAUAAGGUAGAAGUAGUGGAGAAUUAGCCAAGGCCGACAUCUGUGAUAGAAGUUAGAAGUUUUUUGUGUUUAGCUGGGAAUUACAGAUGUUUUAUACAAAAAUUUUCUAAGAAUGCAUCCCUUUUGAGAAUAUUGCCUCAAAAAAGAGUCAGGUUUGAUUGGUCUAAUGCAUGUGAGGAUUGAUCCGCAAUCUUUCUUACUUUUUUUGUUCCUUGUUAGCUUUAAUGCUCUUUUUUUUUCAGAAAAUCCUUACUUUAUUGUUGUCUUUUCGUGCUUCUCAAAGGGGAAUUAAAUGAGGCUUGAGUCUAAUGCCAACUAGAAGUUAGAUAGCUCUCAAAGUCUUUUUUCUUCAUUGGGCGUUGUGCCCGUCCUUGCUUAGGAGUCGCGGUGAUAAACAACAUAUAUAUAUAUUUUUUAAUGUCUUCCAUUGGGCGUCGUGGUGUUGGGUGCGUUGGUGCCAUGGUGCUGAGGCUCAAUCACGCCUUGAGGCCUCUUUCCCAAUUGGGGUGCCACAAUGCUGAUCCCGUGGAGGCCAUUGUGUUUAAAGCUCUUUCUUAAUCAUUCAGACUCUACUACAUUACUUCAACUUCAACAUAAGUGUCACCACUUCUGUGCUGAAAUGGGCAAAGUGUUAAACAUGAAAGUUGUAUCUCCAUUUCUUAACUUUCUAAUGGUUCAUGAAUUAUGUUAAUUGGGCUUUUUUAGUAAAAGAUAUGAUCAAAAUACCAAAACAUGUGUAGAUGAAGUUUGCACCUCACAUGUAUCUCCUUCACUAAACAAGCCCUCUUUUCAAAACAUAGCUAUAAAACAAAAACUUGACUUAAACUAUAACUAAACAAAAAAAAAACAUCGUAAAAUAACUUAACACAAUUGAACCCAAUAUAAUUAAAUUGAAUAAAAUAGAUGGCGAAAAACUCCUAAUGCUUAAAUUAAAUCUCAAGAACUUAGAUAAAAUAUAGUAGAAAUUAAAACCAAAUAACUUUAUAAAAUAGAGUUAUCAAUGGAUCGUACCCAUGUAGGUCCAUGCAUCAAUCAUGUUACAGAAAUGGGAUGUGACAAUGUGGGUAUCGCCCACUAGACCCUAGUAAGUUACUUUACAUUACUCAAUCAUAAAUCAAUCACAUAUAGCUCAUUUGUCAUCAUUAUCAUCAUGCAUGCAUAAAGUAUUAGUCAUCAUAAAUAGAAACAUUUAUGCAUAACUGCAAACACAUGAUUACAGACUUCUCAACAUAAGCUGUGAAUACAAUUUUCAUUCACAAUUACUUGUACCCAGUACAAUUCAUAAAAAUUCUAGAAAUACACCUCAAGUGCUCAUAUGGGCUCACACACCAUCAUUUUUAACAUUCACAUAUAUGCGUAUAAGUAACUUGCCAUUCAAUGGCUUAGCAUCUCCAUGAGUGGAUAUGGGAAGGGGACAAAUUGAAGGGUUAGAGCUUUUGCAUAAAUACAUCCUUUAAGUAUCAUGCACAUAUAAACCUUUAAAUACACAUUUAAUGAACUUAUAAAAGAAUAGUCUUGCCUUUGAAGAAGUUUCAUAAAUCCAUUGAAAAUGAAUAUCAAACCUUUAAAUCAAUGAAUAGCAACUUUAACAAACAUUGAAAAUAACUUUCAUAGAUUUUGAAUGCCCAUAAUUCUUUAAAACCCCAUUUGAAAGUAAAAUCGUUGCAUGGCAUCCAAAAGGGUUAACUUGUCACCACCCAAACCAAGGGGCCAUGACUAGUGCAAGAGUCUAGUAGGUAGGGCUCACAAUGAAAGGGAUUCAAAUUAGGCUCAAGCAGAUCAUGCGCACUAGAAUAUUAAAAUUUUAAUCCCUUAAGCCAUGGAUCACUUUAAUGGAAACUAAUCUAGAAAAACCAUAAAAGAAAGAUUUUGACAUACUUGAAAGUUUGAUGUCAACUUUAUUUGGUGGAGUCCUCCUUGGGUUUUUGUUUUUGACUUUUGUACACCAACUAAGACUUAUCAAACUAUAGCAACACAAUUGUCUUGCCUCUAAUAGUGAUCCACAUAAUCAUUUGCAAAAAUCUCUUCACUGAGAGUGUGUGAAUUCCUAAGCCAAAGUUUGUGCGAGCAAACUCUCAACUUUGAGCUCCUUUGUGUUUCUCUCUUUUUAGUUGUGAUCUAUCUCAACACAUGAGAAAAUAAAAACAUAACUCUUUUAUAUGUUUAAGAGGUGGCUAAAGGAUUCUUUUAUAGAGUGAAUUGACCUACUUUAUAUCUAACAAGGAUUAGAAAAUGUCUUAGGCUAAUUGGGCUUUUAAUUAAUAUUCCAUCAAAUCAUCUUUGAUUUAGCUCAAUACUUUAUCAGAUUAGGCCUAUAUAAAAUCAAUUAGAUCACAUCCAAUUGAACUCAAAUUAUUUUCAACAAUUCACCUUAUGUGUGUGACCUAUUAAGUGCCCAAUAUGUUGGCAAUAAAUAUAAAUUAAUUCAAUUAAAAAUUUAAAUUUAUAUUUAUAGAUUAUGAGCAGUAUCUAGCAAUACAUCAUGACCACCCAAAUGUCAAGAGAGUCAAUAUGAUUUGACUAACCUUUUAGUGUACACUACUUAAGUGUAGUUCAGUCCUUUCAUCAUAUAUCUCGUAUAGAUAGAAAGCUUAGCUUGAUGUCUACUUUCCAAUUAAUCCAUAUUAGUUAUACAGUUGCCAUAUUGACUUAUCGAGAUUGCCUUGGCCAAGGACUUUUAGUCAAUAUAAGCCAAGAGCAAAUGAGAUCCCCUUCAAAUCACUUGGGGUGAUGAAUCCUCUCUAAACUACUCAUUCAUCUGUGCAUGCUUCAUGCCAUAAACAAAGACACCUUGUUUAGGCAUCUAGUUGUCUGCAGACUUGUAGGGAUGAAAUUAAAGCAUGAUAAUUCACAUACAAUAUGAUCUAGUAUCACAAUUCACAUACAACAUUUGAGUAUUUCAUUAAACACUUAAGUGAAAUACCGAAUGAAAGUCUUGUAACGAUCAUGUUCAGUAAACUUGUUCCUUAACAAGCACCCACUCACUAUCCUCAAGUAUCUCACAUACUUUAACCUAUGAGAUCGAUUGCUUACUUCAAAAGUAAAGAGGCCUACCAUGUACCAAUUUUUUAGCAUUUUUGUGAAAUCUCACCCUAAUGUCAGAUUUCUUAGUUAGCAAAUCCUUAGAUGAGCAAGUUAAAUUGUGUUUUACGCACUUGAAAUUUUGUUUUAUAAUUAGAAAAUUUCAUGUUUAAAUGUUUUCAAAUGAUAUACAUAGUUUGGUUUGAUAUCAAGUCCAAUUCAACAAGGUUUUGACUUGAUUUUUAGCUAUUGGAGCUUAUCUAUGGAUAGAUGUUGAUAACUCUAUUAUAUAGAGUUAUUUUGACACAUUUUGGGGGCUUAAGUAGUUAAAUCUUUGAGAUUUUAGGUUCAAAUCCUAAUAUUUUAAGUGUUUGUCUAGUUUAAGUUUGAUUACAUGUUGAGUUGUUAAUUUAAGCUAUUUUAGCUAAAUUUUACGUUAUUUUGUUUUAAAGUACUUUAAGAGUAGUAUUGGUAAUUUCUUUUAUUGCUUUUGUAGGAAAUUUGAUGAAAAUUCAUGCAAGCAUGACAAUUGCUUCAUUCAUAUAUAUUGCGGUAUUUUGACUAUAUCUAUCCAUACAAAACUCCAAAUGAAGUGAUUCUUAGACCACUAGACUUCUAAGAGGAAGGUCUAGAACUUUUAUGUUUACCACUUUACCAGUUCAGAUUGUAUAAUGGUCAAAAUAUUUGUCUAAGUUGGAGCACUACAGCAAUAUGCAGGGACUGAACAUGAUGCAGAAUUUGGAGCAUAUCUUUCAAUCCAAAAGUCCAAUUACAUUAUUCUUAAGCUAUUGGAAAGUUAAAAGAUGGGCCUACAACUUUUCUGUUUAUCACUUCUCCCAGUUUGGAUGAGAUUAGGGUGAAUAUCAUGUUCGAAUUUGAUAAACCAUCGUCGCACUGGGAGAACACGACUGUAGCAUUGGUGAAAGAAAGCUCACCAUACAAAUUUCUUAAGAGCUCAGUGCUACAGUGCUAGUAUAGCAAAAAUCCAGUGCCACAGUGUUAAGAAAUCAAGGCCGAGGCACUUAGCGAUUUUCCAAAAAUAAAAAUUUGAUUGGAUUUUGGAAAUUAGGUUACUUGAAGCCUAUUUAAGGGACCUUUUUCAAAGGUUUUAAAGGGGAGGCAGAAACCAACUAUUAUGGAGAUUUGGAUCCAAGAACAAAGCAAGAAAACAAAAGAAUUUGAGAGGGAAUUGAGAUCAUAAAGCUUCAAUAAUUAGUUUCUUUCUCUACUUUUGUGUUUUUUUUUUCUUUAACUUGGAUUCAUGGCUAAAUUUCUUUGGAUGUUGUUUUUAUUAGUUAUUAUGAGCUAAACUAUAUUUCUAGUAUUGUGGUGGAUUUCAACAUGCAAUUUGAAUAUUAUUUUCUCUUUUAUUUUUCAUGAAUGGGUGUAGUUUUGCUUAUUUAAAUAUGUUCUUCAUGCUUUUCAUUGUUUGACCAACAAUUAACUGAUUUGUGAAUCUAAUUGAGACUCGACAAAGAGAUUUUAGAUUGAACUAAGGUAUGACUGGUGUAUGUUCACGUCACUUAGGUGAUCUGAUUUACGAUUCGGGUAGACAUGUGCCAAUUGCCAUACAUAGCCACAUUAGGACACUUGCUUAAUGAACUUAAUUUAAUUGAUUCCUAUAGACAUAUAAUGAACUAAUUAAGUUAGGUAUUUGUACAAGCAACUCGACGGAGACUUGUCCAUAGCUUUGGAUUCUAGGUUAGUAAAACCACAUAAGAAAAAAAAUAACAAGAAAAGCUGGUAUCAAAUGAAAUGUUGAAUGAACCCAUAAUCCUAGGUCUUUAAUAUACUGCUUUUCUCAACUUAUCUAGUUUGUUAGUUAAUUUAGUCUUUAUUUUAAUUUUGUUUUAAUUAAGUUUUUGCAAAUUUUGAUUACUUAAAUAAGAUUGAUUUUUUAUAAGAUUUUAGUACUUAGUAAAAAUUUAGGAACAAAUUUCUGUGGGAACGAUACUCUACUUCAUCACUAUAUUACUAGUUCGAUAUGUAUACUUACAUGUGCAAAAUCGACAACAGAUGUCUAUCAAUAGAUUUUUUUUGUUUGAAUCUAGAAAUGAUUUGGAUGAAUAUCUAUCGAUAGAUAUUCAUCAUCUAUAGAUAUAUGAGUGACAUCUAUCGACAGAUAGAAAUCUAAGAACUUUUUAAAAUGGUUUUGAAGCUAAUCUAUCAAUAGAUGCGCUCGAUCUAUCGAUAGAUGACACUGUUUUUAGAAAACUAAUAGGGACAAAAUGGCAUUUUUCUCAUGUAAAACUAUAACUAUGGCACAUUAUUCGAGGGUUAGCAACCUUCAGUAGUAGUUUUACAAGGCAAACCUCUUCUAAAACCCUUUUAACUCAUUUUUGAAAAAAAAUCAUUCCUUUUAAUAAUUCUAAGCUUUGUUUUAAGACUUAACGAUAAAAAUGACAUUUUUAAGCUUUGAAACCCAAAAGCUGAAAAUGACAUUCUAGAAAUUUUGUUUCUUGCUCUAGAAAUUCUAUUGGAGGAUUAAAGUUAAAGGUUUUAUGAUUUUUCAAGUUAUCGAAGCUCAUCUAAGGUAAGAGUAAAAGAUUUACUGAUUGUAGAAUGGGUUUAGUAAGAGAAAAUAGACUUAGUCAAUAGCGAAUAACUUUCGAAAGCUCUUAGAAUGAUUAUUUCGAGGUUGUUAGGCUAUAAAUUAAUUGAUAUGAUUAUAGUGUGAUAGGAACAAUCGUAAAGUCUAAGGAAAUCACCGGAGAUAGGUUAUGAUUGAGUUUUUGAUCGAGGUGAGUGGACAUAACACUUUAAAAACUAGUUUGACAAGUAAAGUUGAAGCAUGAUUUGAGAAAUUUCAAUAAGUAUGAUUUUCUAUAAAUACAUGUGAAUUGAAAAAUAAUUUUGGAUGAGAAAAAUAUUUUGAAAUUUUCUUUCAAUCUACUAUGUAUAUAAAUAUUCUAUUAGGUAUUAGUUCUCAGCAAUGGGGGACAAGCACCUUGUUGUUUGAAGCACUCAAUCACUCUAGUCUUCUAACUAGUAUGGGUACAGGAUAUGAUUAAUGCAUAUGCUAAAUAUGUUUAGACAUGAAACAUGUGAUGGAUUGCAUGAUGAUUUUGUUGGUAUAUGCCCAUGAGCCAAUCGGAUUAGUCAAGGAAUAUAUAAUGUCAUUUAAUGCAUACUUAAUCACAUAACUACAUGUGAUAGAGGCUUUCCUUCAUGCUAGUGCAAUAAUAAGGAGUUAUUAAGUACGAAUUAGAUGAAACCCAUUGAACCUAAAGGCCUUGCAAGAGAAUUGUAAAGUUCUUACAAUUAUGAGAUCACUAUGCAUCAAAGCCAUGUUCCUAAAAUUGUUCCUGUUUAUUCUUUUGUAAAGAUAGGACAUCGACAAUGCUCAAAGACUAGUACAUUUUAAGCCUCCUUACUUAGGAAGUAAGCAAUCGAUCUCAUAGAUUGAAGUAUAUGGGAUACUUGAGGAUAACAUAUGGGUGCUCGUUAAAGAACAAGUUCACUAAACAUGAACUACAAUGAGAACUCCAUUUGGUAUUUCACUCAAGUGUCUAUGGAAUAUGUUCUCAUGUCAUAGUCGUCAACUAGUGCUCAAACUUGAGACAUUAGGUCAUCUUGUGUGGGGAAUGAUAUACUUUGAUUUCACCUCUACGAGUCUAGAGGCGACCAGAUACCUAAACAGGGUGUUUUUGGGUAUGCCAUGAAGCAUGAGAAAGCAUUGAGUGGUCAAGAGAGAAUUCAUUAUCCCAAGUGAUAUGAGGGGAUGUAUCUCACUUGUUCUCAAUUCUUGAUUAACUUGUAUAAAGUCUUUGGCCAAGCAUUAUGAAUUUGAAGAAAGCUAGUUUCCUAAAUUCAUAAAGUUAGUCAUAAAUUAUGAGAACUAAUAUGGAAUGUUAUAAGUAGACACUAGGCCAUGCUUUUCAACAUAUCUGAGAUAUUUGAUGAAAGGACCGUAUUGCACUGAGAGGCUUAUCACUGAAGGGCUUUAUCAAAUUCUUUGAUUGGCUUUUUAAUAUUUAGAUGGUCAUGAUGUAUUGCUAGAUACCACUCAUGAUCUAUAAAUAUAAAUCAAUUAUUAAAUUGAUAUUUGAUUAGGAUUUAUAUUUAUUGCCAACAUGUUAGAAGCCUAAUGGGUCACACACAUUAAGUGACAUGAUUGAGAUUAAAUAAGGCUGAUCAAUUAAGAUGGACUUAAUUAGAAUAGACCAAAAUAAAGUAAAAAAUUAAUAAAGUUCACAAAGACUUAAUUAAAUUAAAGUACAACUGUUGUAUCUAGGGUUACAACUUAGUUUGGCUAUGUAAAUAUGUUAUAAACUAAAACUCUAAGCCUCUAGCCACUCCUUAGUCAUUUCUUAAAAUUAGAAAAGAAAAAAAUAGUUUUCUUUAUAUAACAAAAAUAAGAUUCAACAAAAAAUUUGGUCUUUUUGUUUUAGAAACAAAACUUGCUAACACAAGUAAAAUCUUACCUUUGAAAAGGUCUUAUUUAGUCAUUGUGUGGAUUACUGUUAAAAGCCAAACUCUUGGGUGGCUAAGGAUUUAACAAAUCCUAAAGGUGUAGAAGCAAAGAUUUCAAUUACAAGAUUUUAGACUAUCUUAUUCUUUUUCAAGUUUCUUGCUUAAUCACAAACCUUUUGGAUUUAAAGCUCUUGAUUAGAAUAUCUAGAGUAAGGUAUGUAACUCUUGAAAUUAUUAAUAUUCAUAAUUAAUUUGAAAAUUACAUGAAAAAUAAAAACAUUAAUUUUGUAGGAUUUGGUUGUUUCUUUGAUUAAAUGUUAGUUUAUUAUUCCAUUGCAUUAUAUAUUUUAAUUUCUUGAUUAUUUUCAUAUUUGAGCAUGAGGUCAAAUCCCAACAGUGGUAUCAGAGCCUUGUUUGAGGUUUUCAUAUAAUAUGCAUGCUUCAUUCUUGUGAUAAUCAAUAUGAUUGAUUUGUGUGUUGAUUUGGUGUAUAUCAAUUUUGAAGCCUUUAACAGUAUUUUAAUUGAUUUGAUGUUUUUCAAUAUGAUUUAUCUGUUUUUCUAUUUUAAUUCAAAUCUGAACAGCAUGUAAUUAACUCAUUAAAACAUGUUUUAAAAUGUUUAAAAUCAUGUUUAGUUGAAGAAUUAAUAAUUGGAUUAAAAAGCUUGCAAAGCAGAGUUGAAAUCGGAUAGUUUUGAGAUGUUUUGAAGAUUAAUGUGCCAAUUAUAUUUUUAGUAACAUUGGGUAAGUGUUAUGAGUAGUUUUUAAUUGUUAAAAAUUAGUUUUAUCAAAUUAAAUUACUGCAUGUUUCGGCCAAACUUGAUUUAGUAGCUUUUUGUUCAUAAAAAUCAUGUUUUCGAGUUCGAAAACAACAAAGAUUCAAUGUAUUAAAUUUUGGGUACCUAUGAUCGGUUUUGGUGGCUUAAUUCUUCAUGAAUUUUAUGUUUAAUUGUUAAACACACUUAUUGGAAAUUUCCAGUAGCUUUUUCAUGAGUUUGACUCAUAAUUUAUGGAGUUUGAAGAGCACUUAAAUGCCAUCUAUUUUAAUUGUGGGUGAGUCAUAAAAAAAUAGGAAAUUAUUUCCUACUUUAAUAGAUAAUCCUUAAAUUACGAAUAAUAUUUUCAUUUGGAAAAUUCAUAGGAAAUAGUUUCCUACUUUAAAAGAAUUUCCUAAAGUUCUGUGGUAGCAUUGAACUUUCCUUAAAAUUUUGGUUUAACUAGAAGUUUCCAAAAUUUGUUAAGUCACCAUUUAGGUAAUUUGAACAGCAUACAAGUUAGGAAAUUAAUCCAUGUUCUAAAUGUUAGAAAUUAAAAUGUUGAGUUAGAUAUAUUUCAGGAAGUUUACCUAAAAUAAAGAGGUUUCCAAAAUUAAAAGGAGUUUUAAUUAUGGAAAGAAUGAAAAUGGAAUGUCUUAAAAAAGGAAAAUUUUAUUUCAAUGAAUUUCUAAUAUGAAAUAAGAAGUAAAAGGUUUACUCUAAGUGCUUUGAAAAUGGAAAUUUCUUAAGCACUAAAUUGAAAUAAAACAAUACCAAAUAAUUUGAGUUGGCACUUUAAGUGAAUUAAUUGAUGUUUUUCUCAAAUAACACACAAGAUCACCAAGUGAUAUUGAGCUUGCAAUUAAUUCUAUGCUUUUGAUUAUGAUUAUAAAGCAUGAGGAUGAUUAUAGACUUAGACCUUAGAAGAUUAGGUCAUGGAUGAUUAAAUUUAUUUCUUAUGUUAUUUAUUUUAAAAUAGGGUCUGCGCACCCUGCCUUAUUUCUAUGUUCUCUUAGGUUGUAAAAUUCUUUUCUCACCUAACUCCCUUCGAAUGUUACUCAAGGUUUCUUGAUUAUAGAAUGUAAUUAGUUACAUCAAAGUGUAAAACUAGGGUUAGAUAGAAAAAUUUUUGUAACUUGAAGAUUGAGAUUUGAACGUGCCAUGGAGAUUUAAGGAAAUUACAAGCAAAGCUUGAAGACAUGAUUGCAAAAUACUUUAGGAAUUUGAACAACUAAUUUCCUUAAUGGCUCGAGAAAAUUAGAAUUAGUAAAAUCCAUAAUCGUCCUAGCAGUUGGCAUAAGAUAGAUUUAUUUUUCAGUAUAUAUAUAUGAUAUAUGUGAGAUGCGAUUAAUGUUAUGCAUGUCAACAACGUCGAAUCAAUGAGACCUUAAUUAAUAAGUUAAUAAAGAAGAAUCCCUCAUUAAUACAUUGAGUCAAAAAGUUACCUUCCACCAUAUCACAAGAUAACUAGGCUGCUCUUUUAAUUGGAAGCUUGUUGUUACGACCCAGUACUCUCCUCGAGCCCGUGACAACCGUUGCGAUGUCUCGAUACACAUUCAUUACCCUAAAUGCCAAUCGAAACCUCGCAAAGCUUAAUAUCAGUUUUCGCACCUCCCCUGUGAGCAAUAAUUACUAAAUAUCAUAAUUUAAAAGAUUAUAAGCUCUUUCCAAAUCAAAACAAUAAUAAAAAAUUUUUUUUGUCUCACAAGGGCAUUUUGGUCAUUUUUUCUAAAAUUUUUGAAACUUGCUGAAAAUAUAAUAUAUAGGGGAAAAUACACAUUUCAUAACUAAAAACAAGUUUUUAUGUCUAAAACAUUCAUUUAGGGUGAAAUUGUAGCUAAUAGAAUAAAAUAUAAAUAUUAAAUGAAAUAUUCCAUUUUCUUAUAAAAUAAUAUUUAUAGAACUCUACGUAAAUAAUUUUUGUAGCGUAAAAGCAAAAUAAAUCCAUACAUACAGUAAUACAGAUAACCAGAGUAUGUAAUUUAAUUUAUAAUGACGUGUGGGCCCUAAAAUGACCAAAGGUAACAAAGGCUGUGGACCUACAAUUUCUGAGGAGACAAGUCCAAUAAUAACCCUCGAUGUAAUCAGCUAUUUACGGACUAUCCUAAUCCUGGAAUGACUGAAAAAGAAGGUGGUGAGUUUAUAUAAACUCAGUGAGUAAACAAACAUCAUCUAAAAUAUCUAAAGUCAAGUAAAUGGAGACAACUUAAAAUAGUUCAUCGUACUAUGAUUAAUAACAUUUAAAACUCAUUUCAACUAAAUAAAAUAAUUUCAUUUCACUCAAAUAAUCAACAUGGCUUGUGAAUUUCUUAAAAAUUUGGCUCGUGCCAAAAAUUAAUACUCGAUGAUGCCUUACAUCAAGGCAUCCAACCGAGUCCGCCAAGGCUGUUAAGGAAAAGUUCAUAUACGCAUAAAACGCAUUUUUACGUUUAAAAGCAUAGUCGUUCCUUGGCAUUGGCUAAGUUCACCCUCACGUGGUGAUUUAGCGUGUAGUGAACUUUAAAGUUUUACCUCACGAGCUACCCUCUGCGCCUCUCGUACUAAGGUAAAUAUAACGGGGUUUACCGUACCCCUCUAAUAGGUUGGUCCACGAAAACCCGCCCACUGCAGUAAGCUAAAUACAUAACCCACCAAAUCAAUAACAUUUCGGCAGCAUAACAUGGCUAAUAUAAUACUAUCCAGCCUAUUAAGGCAGAACAAAUAAUUCAUACAAUUUCAACACAAUUUCCAAUUCAACCAUUCAUGCCAAUAUCACCAUAAGCCAUUCAAUUCAAACCAUAAAUUUACAACACAAUCAAACAGUCUCCAAUUACUCAAUUUCUAAAAUGAUCAUUCAAUUUCAAAAUGAUUUCUAAAACUCAUUUCAUUUAAUCACAUUUUACUUAUAAAACAUAAGGAUUUACCAUUUAAACUCAUUUUUCUAUAAAUCACAAAAAUGAAUAAAAACUACUUUAGAUAAUUUAGACGAUAAUAAGGUUAUUCAUGAUAUCAGGAGUUCGAAAUACUCCUAUUCUUGGUCCUCUGGCACAAUGUCUUUACCCUUUUUAGAAGACUCGCCACCUAUACACAAUACAUGACAAAUAAUUCAAUAUAUUGUGUCAUGUCAUUAUAAAUCUAUUUCAGGCUCUAUAUGAAUGCAUGAGGUUGCUUGGAUAGUCACUUAAAGACGGUGUUACACGUUGGUUCAAUUAUGAUCGGAAUGGAUCAUUUUUCGACCUAAUUCGAACUCUCCACCUUUGAUUUAACCAAAAGAUCCAAAUUGACUCUAGUUAUAUUCAUCACACUCCAAUGUCCCAAAGUACACCAAAACGCCUCAAUGAGCUUGACUUUCUCAUUGUUAUUCAACUUAUUUACUAAAAGAACUAUACUUUAAAAUUAUCAUUUUCAAUUUCCAUCACCACCAUUCAUUAAAUUCUAACUAAAUAACACAAGAUAUCACAAGAAUCAUCAUCACUAGGUUCCUUAUGAAAUUCGGCCAAGGUGGGUGCAUAAACACUAUGGUUUUUCAUACUUGAUUUUUUUAUACCAUAAUCAUUAGUUCCUAACCAAAUCACUUGAAAUAAAAUCAAAUCCACCAUCAAUAUACCAUAAGGAAGAUUCGGCCAAUGAGGGUGAUGGAAGAACAUGAAUUUUUCUUGUUUACUUUUCAUGCUACACAUCACCAACCAACUAAAAACACUAGAAUAACAUGUUUUCCAACUAAAUUCAUCAUCAAAUCUUCUCCCCCUAGGUUUGGCCAACAAGGGAUACAUUAUGAAAUCAUGAAUUUCAACCAUGUAAAAUGAGAAAGAAUGCGUAGGAAAGAUAGAUCUCAAGCUAAAAUUGAACAAUCUUACCUUUUGUCACUUGAUUCCUUGAAAUUCCAAAUUUUUCUCUUGAAUUUUUCUAACUAGGGUUUUGUUCUUUCUUUCUUUCCUCUUUUCCUUGGUGAGGUCGAACAUAUAGGAGUGAAAUGGGAGAGCCAUGUGUUGAUUUUUACUGUAAAUUAUAAAAAAAUGAAAGCUUGCCACUUGUCACCAUUCCAUUGGUCCAUGUUUAACACUUAACAACUA